rnacentral:misc_RNA from 1 species
CACUGCUCUAUGGGUGCAAUAUUGCAUUAUCUAUAUGCACCGAACGAAUGAAAUGUAGCAGUUUACAGGUGUUAAAUAAAAAGAUACUUCCGUUUUGUAUACAAAGUGGCGCGCGCAUUUAUCAAGAUCAAUAACUAAUACUUUGUCGAGUGUGCUGUGCAGUGUGCAGGACUCCCCUGAAAUUUCCAGAAAAUUGAUAUUCAACAGUAUUCGGGCUGAAAUCGUGGAAAAAUGAGCGUGACAAGUAGGGCUCAAGCCCUAAUACCACCACUGCAGCCGCCAUCGCCGCAGCCUGAGCUGGUAGAGGAGCCGCUAGAGAGCACGUCAAUAGUCCCGCCGUCAUCACCGCUGUUAGAAUCGCAAUUACAAUUCCUUGCUGCUCUCCACGCAGCGCAGCUAGUAUGGUUUGCGCAACCGCCACCACCUCCGCCUCCUCAAUCGGAGCAAACGACUCCAGUAGUUCAGCUCGAUUUGUCUGACGAAGACGAAGAGAUGCCUGAACAUGAAGAGCAGACUGUAGUACAGCAUCAGCUGGUUCCCCCGUUUGAAGAUCAGCAGUCUCAAUUGAAGCCGGAAAAUUGGGAGCAGCAAAAACAACGGAAAGAACUGCUUGUGGAACCGAAAGCGGGAGUGACUGAAUUUCUGCCCGUAGAACCUAAUUCGGAAGCGACUGCAGGACUGUCCAUGGAACCGCUUGCAGGAGUUACUGCGGAACCGCUUGCAUACGUUUCUGCGGAACCGCCUGCAUACGUUUCUGCGGAACCGCCUGCAUACGUUUCUGCAGAACCGCCUGCAUACGAUUCUCCGGAAUUAAUUGCUGACGAUUCUGAGGUAUCGCUUGCAUACAAUUCUGCGGAACUAAAUACAGACGAUUCUGAGGAACUACCUGUAGAAGUUUCUGAGGAAUCGCCUGCAUAUGUUUCUGCGGAACCGCCUGCAUACGAUUCUCCGGAAUUAAUGGCUGACGAUUCUGAGGAAAAGCUUGCAUACGAUUCUGCGGAACUAAAUGCAGACGUUUCUGCGGAAGCAAUUGCAGACGAUUCUGAGGAACUACCUGUAGACGUUUCUGAGGAAUCGCCUGCAUAUGUUUCUGCGGAACCGCCUGCAUACGAUUCUCCGGAAUUAAUGGCUGACGAUUCUGAGGAAAAGCUUGCAUACGAUUCUGCGGAACUAAAUGCAGACGUUUCUGCGGAAGUAAUUGCAGACGAUUCUGAGGAACUACCUGUAGACGUUUCUGAGGAAUCGCCUACAUAUGUUUCUGCGGAACCACCUGCAUACGUUUCAGCGGAAUUAAUUGCUGACGAUUCUGAAGAACCGCUUGCGUACGAUUCUGCGGAACUACCUGUAGAUGUUUCCGUGGAACCGCCUGCAUACGAUUCUCCGGAUCUAAUUGCUGACGAUUCUGCGGAACUGAUUAAAGACAAUUCUGCGGAACUAAUUACGGACGAUUCAGGGGAACCGCUUGCAUACGAUUCUGCGGAACUACCUGUAGACGUUUCUGAGGAAUCGCCUGUAUAUGUUUCUGCGGAACCGCCUGUAUAUGUUUCUGCGGAACCGCCUGUAGACGUUUCCGUGGAACCACCUGCAGAAGUUCCUACGGAACAACCUGCAUACGUUUCUGCGGUACCAUCCGCAAUUAUUUCUGCGGAUCCGUCUGCGUAUGUUUUUGCAGAAACGCCUGCAGAAGGUUCUGCGGAAUCGCUUGCUAACGUUUCUGCGGAACCGCCGACAGACGUUUCUGAGGAAUCGCAUGCAGAGGAUUCUGCGGAACCACCUUCAGCACCACCCGCUGAAUCGCCUGAGGAACCGACGGCAUCACUGCCUAUGGAACUGUCUGCAUUAUCACCCGCGGACCCACAAGCAUCACCACCCGUAGAACCGCCUGCAUCAAAACUAGCGGUACCUACCGGUGAACUGAAUGCAUCAAAUCCCGAAGUACGACCUACUUCACCAACUGAGGAAUCGCCAGCAUCACCGCCCGCGGAAGCACAAGCAUCAGAGCCCGCUGAACCGCAGGCAUCAGCGCCCGCUGAACCGCAAGCAUCAUUAUCUAUGUCACCAUCUGCAUCAUCACUUGCGGGAUUUUUUGUACCAUCGCUUCGUGAAUCGCCUGCCGAACAGCAUGAUGAUGAACGAGCCGAAUUAGCUUCGCCAUCUGUUGUACCGCUAAGUCCGGCGCUUUUUAUUGAUGAGCAGCGACUUGAUCUGGCAAAUGCAGGUGCAAAAUUGAAGCCAUCUCAAAUAGUACCACUGCUUCCUCCAGAGCAGCGCCCUAAAAUAACUAGUCCGUUAGCAGGACCGUCACGUCCUCCUCAGUGGUCUCCAUCAUAUUAUAUGCAAAAGCGCCGACCUGGACUAGUGUCGUUAGAAGCUAGACAGUUGGCGAUAGCACUUCAGGCCGUACCUGAAGAGCCACUUAUGCUUGAUGUGGCGCCUCCGCUGCCUCUUGAACCAGCGCCACAAUUACCACCAUUGCCGCAUGGGCCUCCGCCACCAUUACCACCAUUACCAUAUGGGCCACCGCCGCCAUUGCCACCUUUGCCGCGUGAACCAGCGCCAGCUUUGGUAGCGAUACCCUUGCCGCUGGAAGAAGACAUACCUUUGCCUCCAGGAGAAGCGCCACCCUCCCUGCGGGUCAUAGUGCUGCCACCCACGCCGCCGCCGGGGCAAGCUGCGAACGAACGACAGGGGUCUGACCGUACAGGUCCAUACCGCAGAGCGUUCUGCAUGCAUCCUCCGCUAUCCCCGUCCUUGCAGCCGAGGCCCGCAGAGCCUUCAUCGCCGCAACCUGAGCCUUCCACCAGUUCCGAACCAACCGCGGUCGCUGACACUUCGAGCCGGCGCUGCGGUGCUGUAUCCUUGAUGAGGCUAUGGCAAGGCGGUGCUGAUAUGGUAUUACGCCGCUUUGCUGCGUCCACUUGGGCCUAGAAAGGUUGCUGAGAAAAGAGCUGCAGAUUCGACUACUGAUUCUCCAGCUAAGAUGCGUUGCCUGGCGACGGAUAGAGACGAUCCGCGAUGCUCUCCGGAAUGCUUCCGUUGUAUGCGCCGUGUUUUGAGGAAUGCUAUCUACAGACCUCCUGGAGCGCCGAGAGAUGGAGAUAACCGAGCU